GGAUGCGAUCAUACUAGCACUCACGCACUAGAUCCCAUCAGAACUCCAAAGUUAAGCGUGAUUGGGCAAGAGUAGUACUAGUAUGGGUGACCCCUUGGGAAGUCCUCAUGUUGCAUCCU
rnacentral:rRNA from 1 species